rnacentral:rRNA from 1 species
AGGGCACCACCAGGAGUGGAGCCUGCGGCUUAAUUUGACUCAACACGGGAAAACUCACCCGGCCCGGACACUGGAAGGAUUGACAGAUUGAGAGCUCUUUCUUGAUUCAGUGGGUGGUGGUGCAUGGCCGUUCUUAGUUGGUGGAGUGAUUUGUCUGGUUAAUUCCGAUAACGAACGAGACUCUAGCCUAUUAAAUAGAUCGUUGGCUUACAAACGCCGGCGAGACUUCUUAGAGGGACAGGCGGCGAUUCAGCUGCACGAAACAGAGCAAUAACAGGUCUGUGAUGCCCUUAGAUGUCCGGGGCCGCACGCGCGCUACACUGAAGUGAUCAGCGUGCAUUUUGAAACCUACUCUGUCAAGAGUGGGGAACCCAAUGAACCUUCUUCGUGAUUGGGAUAGGGGAUUGUAAUUAUUCCCCUUGAACGAGGAAUUCCCAGUAAGCGCGAAUCAUAAGUUUGCGCUGAUUACGUCCCUGCCCUUUGUACACACCGCCCGUCGCUACUACCGAUUGAAUGUUU